UCUUAGAUGUGACUACAGCAGUGACUACAGCAGUGACUACAACCACUCACCAUGUCAGUACUUACACAUCUGGCUCGAAGCACAGUUCAGCAACAUUCGUGACUAGCGUCACAUCAGUUUCUAGCGGUGAUGACACCAUAAAGCCAGUGCAGUUCUGUCUUGCACAGAAUUGAAGGACGUGAUGUUGGUGGGACUGAAAAUUUAAGAAGCUGGCGCUUAUUCAAUUAUUUUUUAUUAAAACAGCACGGUUAGUCAUGUGUUAAUCCUUACAUAUCGGUUAGAACACAGUGUCCCACAUUUCCCCUUAAAGAUUGAUAAGUACAUCUACAGUGCCCUCCAAUAAAAUUGGCACCCUUGGUAAAUAUGAGCAAAGAAGCCUAGGAAAAAUUGUCUUUAACCUUUUGUUUAAAAAAAAAAUCACAAAAAUACUCUCAUGGAUAUCAAACAAUUGCAAACACAACUCGAGUUUGCAACAAUUAUUGACAAACUUUUAGUCAAUACUUUGUGUUACCUCCCUUUGCCAAGAUAACAGCUCUGAGUCUUCUCCUAUAACGCCUGAUGAGGUUGGAGAAUACAUGGCAAGAUAUCUGAGACCAUUCCUCCAUACAGAAGUUCUCCAGAUCCUACAAAUUUCGAGGUCCAUACUGGUGGACUCUCCUCUUCAGUUCACCCCACAGGUUGUCUAUGGGUUUCAAGUCAGGGGACUGGGAUGGCCAUGGCAGGA